ensembl:lncRNA
CAUCACCUCAGAGAGACUGAGUGGCAAAAAGAGGAUGUCAGUUUCAAAUGCUUUGAUUUUGUGGUCUCUUUUGAAAAGGCAAAAGUACAGGAGACUGCUUACCUUGUGGACGCUGGUGUUUUAAUGCGUAAAUGGACUGCGCAUAAAACAGGUGAGGACUGGGAUACAGUUUGGCAGGUAGUGGUUCCGUCACCAAUGCGACAGCAAGUACUGUCACUGCGCCCCCCCCCCCCCCCCAAUUCAAUAGGUUCUGGGUCCCAUAGUCUACAACACCAAUAAGCAAGCGGCACCAUGAAUACCAAGGAGCGCAUGCCAAACAGAGCACCAUUAAAGCCAUUAUUAAAAAAUGGAAGGAAUAUGGCAAGAGAGGGCCGCCCACCAAAACUCAUGGCCCAGGCAGGGAGGGCAUUAAUCAGAGAGCCAACAAAGAAACUAAAGAUAACCCUGAAGGAGCUGGAAAGCUCCACAGCGGAGAUUGGAGUUUCUGUCCAUAGGACCACUUUAAGCCGUA